rnacentral:pre_miRNA from 1 species
CGAUGACUUCAGCAGCCAAGGGUAGUCCUCCACAGUACUUAAUUACACUACUUGAGAGCUCACUGAAGUCUGCUCUUGGACUUGCCUGUCUAAAC